AAAGAUUAAGCCAUGCAUGUCUGGAUAUAAGCACUUUAUACUGUGAAACUGCGAAUGGCUCAUUAAAUCAGUUAUCGUUUAUUUGAUAGUACCUUACUACGAGGUCACCUGUGGUAAUUCUAGAGCUAAUACAUGCUGAAAAGAUUGAUUUCGGAAGGGGUGUAUUUAUUAGAUAAAAAACCAAUGCCCUUCGGGGCUCCUUAGCGGGUGACAAUAACUUAACGAAUCGCAUGGCCUUGCGCCGGCGAUGGUUCAUUCAAAUUUCUGCCCUAUCAACUUUCGAGGAUCGGAUAGUGGCCUACCAUGGUGGCAACGGGUAACGGGGAAUUAGGGUUCCCCCCCGGAGAGGGGACCUGAGAAACGGCUACCACAUCCAAGGAAGGCAGCAGGCGCGCAAAUUACCCAAUCCCGACACGGUGAGGUAGUGACAAUAAAUACUGAUACGGGGCUUUUGUGGGUCUCGUAAUUGGAAUGAGUACGAUCUAAAUCCCUUGGCCCGGAACAAUUGGAGGGCAAGCCCGCUGCCAGCAGCCCCGGAAAUACCAGCUCCAAUAGCGUAUAUUAAACUAUUUCUGGAUUAACGAAAUUUUGAAUUGAACACUAGUUCUGGCUGGCCGGUCCGCCUCACCGCGAGUACUGGUCCGGCUGGACCUUUCCUUCUGGCCGGAACCUUGAGAUCUUCACUGGCUGUGGGGGGAACCAGGCCUUUUACUGUGGAAAGCUUAAAGUGUUCAAAACAGGCCUUUGCUCGAAUACAUUAGCAUGGAAUAAUAGAAUAGGACGUGCGGUUCUAUUUUGUUGGUUUCUAGGACCGCCGUAAUGAUUAAUAGGGAUAGUCGGGGGCGUCAGUAUUCAGCUGUCAGAGGUGAAAUUCUUGGAUUUGCUGAGGACUAACUACUGCGAAAGCAUUCGCCAAGGAUGCCUUCAUUAAUCGCCGAACCACAUCUAUGGGAUCGAAGACGAUCAGAUACCGUCGCACUCUAAACCCUAAACUAUGCCGACUAGGGGUUGGGAGGUGUUUCUAUGAGGGCCCGCUCGGCACCUUACGAGAAAUCAAAGUUUUUGGGUUCUGGGGGGAGUAUGGUCGCAAGGCUGAAACUUAAAGAAAUUGACGGAAGGGCACCACAAGGCGUGGAGCCUGCGGCUUAAUUUGACUCAACACGGGGAAACCGCGUCCGAUCCAGACAAAAUAAGGAUUGACAGAUCGAGCGCUCUUUAUGGGGCUUUUGGAUGGGGGCGCAUGGCCGCUCUGUAGUUGGGGGGGGGGUUUGCCUGCUUAAUUGCGAUAACGAACGAGACCUCGGCCCUUAAAUAGCCCGGCCGGCGCUUGCCGAACGCAAAUCAAUGGCUUCUUAGGGGGACUAUCGGCUCAAGCCGAUGGAAGUGCGCGGCAAUAACAGGUCUGUGAUACCCUUAGAUGUUCUGGGCCGCACGCGCGCUACACUGACAGGGCCAGCGAGUACAUCACCUUGGCCGAGAGGUCCGGGUAAUCUUGUUAAACCCUGUCGUGCUGGGGAUAGAGCAUUGCAAUUAUUGC
rnacentral:rRNA from 1 species